rnacentral:lncRNA from 1 species
ACGGGAAGACGACCAUCGCUACGCAUCUUCCAAUACACUAACCGCUCUCUCGGGCGCAUCCGAUCCCACAAUCGUCGUCAAUCAACAACAUAACCGCUCACAACAGCUCUCUCUGGAUCUCCAGUGAGCCCCUCCAGUGGCUUUGAUCGUCGCCCCUAAAUCAACACAACAACAGUGGCUUUGAUCGUCGCCCCUAAAUCAACACAACAACAGUGGCUUUGAUCGUCGCCCCUAAAUCAACACAACAACAGUGGCUUUGACCGCCGGAGGUGACAUUCGCCUUUGGUUAUCGUGCUAUGUCUGCCGUACUGCUGCGCUGCUUCAGAGUCUGGCACGGAGCUCCUACGACCCGUGUGGUGUCCCUUCAACACCAACACAACGAAGUUUGACCAUAUACAGCCAAUUCUUUCAGUAAAAGAAUUACACUUGCCGUGCCAGCAUUCAAUAUCAUGUAGAAUGUGAGUGGCAGAAGUUCUUGAUUUGUCAUUAGUGAUUGUCACCGGUAGCAGAAAUACAAAUACACUGGCAACCCUCUGUAUCUUGCAGCUCACCCCAACUACUUGGCUGUUACAUGCACAGCCUCAACAAACUGGUUGCUACUUGCACAGCCUCAAUGACCUACCCAUUAUGGCAUCAGCUCAUCUCAAUAAACUGGCUUACAGCUCAUCUCAAUAAUCUGGCUACUAUUUACUCAGCCUCAACAUUCUGUAGACAUGGCUCCCUUAACUUGUUCAGAUAUUGUAAUGCACCAAUCUCGCCCUUUGCAGUAAACACUACAACAAUAGAAUAACAUAUUUAGAUUUUAACUACAAAUUUUGUAAAUAUCUUUUAAACAUUAAAAGUGGCAAAUGAUACAGCUGGUUUAUGUAUUCCAGGUGUUUAACAGUUUCCUUUGGGAAAGCUUUUUUAUCAUUAUACAAAUAUAGUAAGGAAUGUAAGUACUGUAAAUUUGUUGUGUGUACUCAAUUUCUCACUUUUAUGCACUGUUCUAUAGAAAAAUCAUAUAUAAUUUCUAUACAUGUUAGUGGCUUUGCAAGAAUGUAAAUUCAUUUGAUCAUAGUUGUAUGACCCAGUAUUACCUUCUUUUGAGUGUUUUAAACAUAAAAAAUUCAUUACUCUUCCUUGUCAUUGUUAGUCAUCUAUACACUUUAUGUACCAAGAUAUUAGUUUAUAUAUAUUAUUUUAUAUUGAUACUCACCUUGCUUCCAAAUAUUUCAGUAACAUUUACCAUCAGUAUGCUAAUGUGUGUAAAAAUUUACCAUUAAUGUACUACAGUUCAUGACAGUUUACCAUUAGUAUCUCAGUGUUUGUGAAACUUUAUUGUUAGUAUCCUGCAGUGUGGCACUUUAUAAAGAUACAGUUCUGCUUUUAACAAUAAUGCAGUAAUACUUUUAAAAUUUAUAUCAUUAUUGGUAACUUUUACCUGUUGUUAUUGAGGAAGGAACCCAUUUUGUAUUAUCAUUGUAAAAUUCUGUUCAUUAAUUUUGAAUGUGUUAAAUGUUAAAUUAUGUGAGCAGUUAACUCCUGGCUCUUGAGCUGGGAUGUUCUUAGAUACCAGUACAGUAUUGUACUUAUCUGAGUAGAAAUACGUUUUUUAUUUUAGCAAAUUAGAUUCCGAGCUCAAUAAUUUUAAUGUAAUGCAAAUUUAAAUUAUGUGUAUACACUUAAAUUAAA